UUUUAUUUUGGAUUCAGCCUUUUCCUUUUCGAGUACCCUUUUUCCCAUCUCUCCUCUAAUGCUCAUCAGAAGCUUUAAGCUUAUUUCUUCUUCCACUCUCUCUCUCUCUCGCGGACGGACAACUAAACCCUAGGGCCUCUGCGACGGCGGCGAGAAGGGUAGCACUGUACGAGGCGUCGUGAGAGCGUCCUGCAACGACGGCGUUUCCGUGAGGGUUCCUUAUGCGACGUCUUCGCGAUGCGAGAAGCCCUGUUUGAUGGCGACGUCGGGGAGGAGAAGAGCUGGAUUGCGUUUGCGGUGUGGUGGCCUCCGGUCUCAGACGGUUUCGCAGUAACAGGACUUGUGGUUCUUUGGGUUUUCUGUUGAUUCACGUCGGAAGGUUUCUUUCUCGCGGUGGUGGCGGUGGUGGUUGCACUAGUGAAGCGACCAUGCGUGGUAGCCGUGAGUUACGACCGGCUCAGGUUGGCAUUCAGUGUUGGGCCUAAGUUGGGCCGGUAGACCAGUAUUGUGUUUUGGUUUUGGAAUAGCAAAUUUGAAAUUAAAAUUGUA